rnacentral:rRNA from 1 species
AAUCAACGCUGGCGGCGUGCCUCAGACAUGCAAGUCGAACGCGAAAGGUUCCUUCGGGAACCGAGUAGAGUGGCGCACGGGUGAGUAACACGUAGGUAAUUUGCCUUUGGGUGGGGAAUAACAGCCGGAAACGGCUGCUAAUACCGCAUAAUGCAGCGGCUCGACAUCGAGACAGUUGUUAAAGCGGGGGAUCGCAAGACCUCGCGCCUAAAGAGAAGCCUGCGGCAGAUAGCUAGUUGGUAGGGUAAUGGCCUACCAAGGCGACGAUCUGUAACCGGCCUGAGAGGGCGGUCGGUCACACUGACACUGACAUACGGGUCAGACUCCUACGGGAGGCAGCAGUCGGGAAUUUUGGGCAAUGGGCGAAAGCCUGACCCAGCAACGCCGCGUGAAGGAUGAAAUCCCUCGGGAUGUAAACUUCGCAAGAAUGGGAAGAAUAAGUGUGGGCUAAUACCCUUCAUGAUGACGGUACCAUUUGUAAGCUCCGGCUAACUUCGU